rnacentral:rRNA from 1 species
UUCGCCUGCGUGAAGUUGGAAUCGCUAGUAAUCGCGGAUCAGCAUGCCGCGGUGAAUACGUUCCCGGGCCUUGUACACACCGCCCGUCACACCAUGAGAGUCGGGAACACCCGAAGUCCGUAGUCUAACAGCAAUGGGGGCGCGGCCGAAGGUGGGUUCGAUAAUUGGGGUGAAGUCGUAACAAGGUAAC